AUUGAACGCUGGCGGCAGGCUUAACACAUGCAAGUCGAGCGGUAACAGAGAGUAGCUUGCUACUCUGCUGACGAGCGGCGGACGGGUGAGUAAUGCCUAGGAAUCUGCCUAGUAGUGGGGGAUAACUUGCCGAAAGGUAAGCUAAUACCGCAUACGUCCUACGGGAGAAAGCAGGGGACUCUUCGGAGCCUUGCGCUAUUAGAUGAGCCUAGGUCGGAUUAGUUAGUUGGUGAGGUAAUGGCUCACCAAGACAGCGAUCCGUAACUGGUCUGAGAGGAUGAUCAGUCACACUGGAACUGAGACACGGUCCAGACUCCUACGGGAGGCAGCAGUGGGGAAUAUUGGACAAUGGGGGCAACCCUGAUCCAGCCAUGCCGCGUGUGUGAAGAAGGUCUUCGGAUUGUAAAGCACUUUAAGUUGGGAGGAAGGGCAGUUAACUAAUAUUUGACUGUUUUGAC
rnacentral:rRNA from 1 species